ACCAGAUUAUUUUUAUUUAGUAUUUCCUACCAGUGAGUAAGGUCUAGUUUUGCCUAUUGGCUCUAUGGAAUAAUCUUGGUUCCAUGUUGAUUACUAAUAGACGGCACCCUUUUAGCACUGUUAUUACAACACAGUUGAAAUCUGAAAACAAGCAAAGCUCCUUUUCCACGAUAGCUCAAUUCUGUUUUCAGAGCUAGGAAGACAUACAUGUGUCAAUUAAGCAGAAAAUCCUGGAAAUAUGUAACAUUACCUGGAUUGUGUGCCAGUUUCUGGGUAAGAGGGGGUAGGAAGAUUAAUAUAAAGGUUAGUUGCAUGACCUCUUAGUUUAGCAAUGAAAACCUUCAGGGGCAUAUAUCACAGUUUAGACUUUCUGGGCUUAUCUGUGUAAUGUGGCCUGCCCUGUCCUGUUUAUAAACAUCAGCGAGACUGGCUGAUCCAGAAAGGUUUUGUUUGUAUCUGUGCUGAACUGUUCCGGGAAGAGCUUAAAAUAGCUACCUAAAAUUAUUUUAGGAUUUUGAACAGGGAAACAGCUCCGACAUGGUUUUUGAAAAGUCCUGGUUAAUUUCAGACAGAGGCUCAGGGGUCUUGUCAGCCCUGGAACAUAUCUGUGUUUGAUUGGGAACACUCAAGUUACAAGACAUACUGCUGACUGUGACUUUGCAGUCACCGGAGACACAGUUAAAUCCUGCUGGGACCACUAAUUCAACCUCACAAAUCCCCCUGGGAAGUGAGUCAGUAAGUAGUAGUCUCCCAUUAUACUAAUGGGAGAAGAGAAUAGAAGGGAAUUGCCCGAGGUCACAGUAGGCGCAGAGCAGAGAUUAGAAUUCAGGAGUUGAUGGCUCUGAUUCCUGUGGGACAUGUUCCCGCUCAGAAUUUUGUGCAGUGUAAAAUACAUUCCACAACCUCUGAUCAAACUGGUAUAACUCCUCACUGAGGCGUCACACCAUUGUGAAGUGGGACUUGUCUGAAACACUUUGGUGUAUUUUGAGCAUAGUUUUUGCACCUCACCCCACCCUUUCUGACCUAUGCUGGUUUGAUUAGAAACCUAGUUUAUUACAGGACUAGCAGAGAGACCGUGGACCAAGUAUCAUGGGAGGAACAGCAAAAGUUCAUUCAAGUCAGACUUCAGACUCUGUUUCCAACUGGAUCUCAGUGCCAUUUCUUCCAUGCUUCUAAUGUCAGCCAUUUCCACAGCUGCACAAGAAACACUGUACAGGAAGCAGAACAGAGCAGAUCCAGUCAGUUCUGCAGUUUUGCACCGUACAUGCAGUACCUUACACUGUGGGUAGGUACAUAUGGGAAAAUGUUGACUUCUGCGAAGUAGGUAGGUCCUUUCAGAGGUGUCUCAAAGAAUGCUCUAUGAAAAGAGCUCUGCUUUUAUUAAUUGAGUCAUUCUCUUGUGCAAUCAUUGUAAUAAAUAUCCUGCCUCACCUUUUCCAGGGCAGGCUUUGAUUGCAGCUCUCCUGACAUGCCUACCAACUAGCCGAAGUGCACACUUUUCAAGGUGGUUAUUAAGGGAUUAUAUCUACCCUGGGCUCACUGUUCAGUCUGCUCACUGGCACUUAUUGGGUCCCAAGUGCCAAUUUCACAAAGUGCUGAAUGCACUCACUCCACAUAAUUGGUCCUGAAGACAAGCACCCUGUCUUAAGAGCUUUGUAGCUGAUGAUUCAAAAUGCCAUUGUGUGGGUUUCUCUCCUUGUACUGCCAGUAGAGUGAGUCCUCCUUCCCAUCUUCUGACUACACUGGAUAGACAGGCAGCAGGUUGAUAUGGCAGCAAAGGAGAGCGGGGGGGAGAUAGAACAAAAUAGGAAAAAGGAGUAAAGGAGAAGAUGGCCAGGAACUCUGAAGGGAUUGUGCAGGUGCUGUGCAUAUCUGGAGAGCUGUGCAUGCGAAGGCAGGGUAGAAAGUGACGAGCAGGGUGGGGCACAAGGGAAACUGACCCCAUGUCAGUGAGAGUGCUGUUGAGUGAGUGGCUCAGUCACUAUUGCUCCUAGCCAGAGAGGGGCACAUAACUAAAGACUCUAUUUGCAUGCUGAGAAUUUCACUGUCUGGGUUUUUUAGGUACUGCCCUUCCUGCUACAUGCUGCAUAAAGAGAGCAGAAAAACCCACAACAAAAAAGAUAUUUUUUCUCUUCUCUCAGCCAGGGGCAUUCUCUGCCCACACCUUGCCCCUUCUAAUACCCUCUGUACUAGAAGAUAAGGGUCUGGCUACACUGUGGAGAGGGAAGUAUAUUUUUAAAUUAGCUAACCUCAUUGGAAACACAUGGAUUAGAUGCAGUUUAAUACCAUUACAAUUGUGAUAGCUGGUAUCUAACACCUGUUAAAAUACAACUUGCCCAGGCUACUUUAGGGUGUUGAAACAUGCUCAUUAAAAGGGGUUCGCUAACUGUGAUGAUUUGGGGACUCUAUGUAUAACUGAUGAAUUCUGUUUAAGUCUUUAUGAUUAUUUUUACUGUAUUCUGACAUCAUCCUUCUUGUGCUAAGGAGCAGGGGAGUGGUGCCUGGGUGUCCGUCUUUGAAUGGGACAAUCCUUAGGGUUUACCAACAGUGCCUGAACAGAACAAUGAGAUGGCUGAAGACUCGGACUAGUUCUCUGUACUCCUCUAAAGGAGGAGGAGUGGAAAAUCUCCAGGAGGGAAAGAAAGACUGAAGUGUUUGUACAGCCCUCUAAAACGAGAGGCUGCGAAGUUGGGGAGGGACUCACAGAGGAACAAAGAAACAGAUUUCCAGAACAUGGAGGAACCUUUUGAGUGAGGGACUAGCCAGGAGCUGAGGGAUAUGGUGGGCAGGCAGGGGUCAGAUAGCAAUUCCAUGUUCCAGAGGAGAAGUCAUGUACAGAAGGGAAUGGGGGAGAGGAAAGAUCCUGGACUCCUUCAGAGAGAGACUCUGACCAAAUCCCAAAGAACACUCAACAGGCCCCCACUCGUACUGGGACUGGACUACCACCAUCUUUGCUCCCCACUGUGCUCUGCACAAGGACGUGCAGGAUCGAGGCUGAACAAGGACAUGAAUGCGAGAAGGGUAAUUGGGAACCAACAAACAGGCAUCUUGUAUGAAACUGGAAUUGCAUAUUACAAAGAGGGUGCUAAUAAUACUGCUAAGAGUAGGUCACUGCAGGCUACGUGGCUCUGGGAAGAAGGAUAAAGGAGUUUGAGGCGCAAGUUGUGUUCUCGUCCAUCCUCCCUGUUGAAGGAAAAGGCCCAGACCACAAGUUAAUACUUCUAUGUGCUUUUGCUUGAUAUGCCUUCAUUUCAUCUCUGUACAUCUGCCAGUUGCAUCUCAGGUCCACAGAAAUUAUGGCAGAUAGCAUGCUGUGAACCGAGAGCACCAGAAGAUCAAGCACUGCUAGCACCAAGGGACUUUCCUACAUAAUUCAGCCAGUGGGAUUGAUAAUACAUUCUGUAUAGGACACUGCUUUAAUGUGACUACUGGUAUAACAGGUGCAAAUGUUUCUAUGCUCCUCCUAUCAUCUCCGUCCCUGAG